rnacentral:tRNA from 1 species
GCCUGGGUGGCUCAGUCGGUUAAGCGUCCGACUUCAGCUCAGGUCAUGAUCUCACGGUUCGUGGGUUUGAGCCCCGCGUCAGGCU